rnacentral:rRNA from 2 species
AGAUUAAGUUAUUAAGGGCGCACGGUGGAUGCCUUGGCACUAGAAGCCGAUGAAGGACGUUACUAACGACGAUAUGCUUUGGGGAGCUGUAAGUAAGCUUUGAUCCAGAGAUUUCCGAAUGGGGAAACCCAGCAUGAGUUAUGU